rnacentral:rRNA from 1 species
AACAAACGCUGGCGGCGUGCCUAAUACAUGCAAGUCGAACGGGGAAAGCUUUCGGAUAGUACCUUAGUAGCGGACGGGUGAGUAACGCGUGAGCAACCAACCUUUGUGAGGGGGACAACAGCUGGAAACGGCUGCUAAUACCGCAUGAGACCACGGAUUCGCAUGGAUCUGAGGUAAAAGAUUUAUCGCACAAAGACGGGCUCGCGUCCCAUUAGCUAGUUGGUGAGGUAACGGCUCACCAAGGCAACGAUGGGUAGCCGACCUGAGAGGGUGAUCGGCCACACUGGAACUGAGACACGGUCCAGACUCCUACGGGAGGCAGCAGUGGGGAAUAUUGGGCAAUGGGCGCAAGCCUGACCCAGCAACGCCGCGUGAGGGAAGAAGGUCUUCGGAUUGUAAACCUCUGUCCUUGGGGACGAAAAAAAUGACGGUACCCAAGGAGGAAGCUCCGGCUAACUACGUGCCAGCCGCCGCGGUAACAC